rnacentral:rRNA from 1 species
GACGAACGCUGGCGGCGUGCUUAACACAUGCAAGUCGAACGGGGUCGAUGCAACUUGUUGCCGAAGAGCUAGUGGGGAACGGGCGCGUAACACAUGAGGAACCUGCCCCGGUCUCUGGGAUAACAAAUGGAAACAUCAGCUAAUACCAGAUGCCGCCUGGAUGUCGCCUGGGGACCAGAGCAAAGAUUUAUCGGACCGGGAGGGCCUCCUCGCCUAUUAUUUGUUGGUGAGGUAACGGCUCACCUAGGCAUCGACUGGUAGCUGGUCUGAGAGGAUGAUCAACCACACUGGGACUGAGACACAGCCCCCACUCCUACGGGAGGCAGCAGUGGGGAAUCUUGCACAAUGGGCGAAAGCCUGAUGCAGCAACGCCGCCUGCGGGAAGAAGGCCCUAGGGUUGUAAACCGCUUUUUUCGGGAAGAAACUGACGGUACCUGCAGAAAAAGGUGCGGCCAACUACAUGCCAGCACCCGCGGUGACACGUAGGCACCGGGCGUUGUCCUGAUUUAUAGUGCGUAGAGAGCUCAGAUGCGGUUCGGCAAGUCGGGUGUGACAACUAUGGGCUCAACCUAGACCCGCCACCCGAUACUGCUGUGACUAGAGUUCGGUAGGGGAGCGGGGAAUUCCUGAUGUACGCGGGAAAUGCGCGGAUCUCCGGGAGGAAAACCGGUGUUGAUAGGCCCUGUUUUUGGGCUAGAUGCCAAGAGGAGGAAAAGACUAGGAUAGCAUACAGGUGUUAGUUCCCCCGGGUGUCCCUUGCGGGAAAACGUGGGGGGGUUAGUUUCUGGGUCUCAACCAACGGAGAUCCGCGCCUGUAGCUAACGCAUUAAGUGCCCCCGCCUGGGGAGUCCGGCCCGCAAGGCUAAAACUCAAAGGAAUCGCCGGGGGCCCGACACAAGCAGCGGAUCGUGUUGAUUAAUUAGAUGCUACCCGAAGAUCCUUACCUGGGUUUGACAUCCACGGAAAAGCUCCGGAGACAGGGUGUCCGAACGCCCCUUACACAGGUGGUGCAUGACUUUGGUUAGCUCGAUUGGUGAGAUGUUGGGUUAAGUCCCGCAACGAGCGCAACCUUUAUCCUAUGUUGCCAGCGGGUAAUGCCGGGGACUCAUAGGAGACUGCCGGGGUCAACUGGAGGAAGGUGGGGACGACGUCAAGUCAUCAUGCCCCUUAUGCCCAGGGCGGCAAACUGGUUCCAAUGGCCGGUACAAAGGUCUGGGAUCCCUGGAGGGGGAGAAAAUCCGAAAAACCGGUUUUCAUUUGGAAUUGGAUUCUCAAAUUGACCCCCAGAAAUCGGGAGUGCUAAGAAAUCCAGAACAACAAUGCCGCGGUGAAUACGUUCCCGGGCCUUGUACACAC